AUGUUCCCUGAAGUCGUGCCCUCCCAGAAAGUCUCUAAAAUCAAGAACAUUGGAAGUGGGGUUUUGGGUGAGGGGUUGUGGUGGCGGAAUACAGAAGUCCUGGCUUGCAGGGCCUUCUCUGCUCUCUAUACUCUGAGGAAGCCCUCCCCUUCGACCCGAAAGCAUUUUGGGAGAGUGCUAGGCUUGGAAGACAGGAGACCUAGUGAGAGCAAGGCGGUGGUAACUAGUCGAGAGAGAAGCGCUUGGCAGGAGCUCUCUGCGGGACUUGAGCUCCCUGGCUGCUCGGGAUCCCUACGUCCGCGGCUGCGGAAGGACCAGACGGGAGGACGCCAGCAGUUGCUUACUGGAGCCUGGAGGGAAGGGGUCUGCAAACUCUUCUGUAAAGGGACAGAGAGGAAGUAUAUUAAGCUUUGCAGGCCAUAUGAUCGCUUUACCAACUACUCAACUGCAACAUUAAAGCAGCAACAGCACAGGAGACCCCCUCUCAUAUAUCAGACCUUCUUCAGAAAGCCUCAAUCCAUUUCCUUGAUUCCACUAAAUCAAGCAUAA
rnacentral:lncRNA from 1 species